rnacentral:lncRNA from 1 species
GAGUCUGAGAGGACAUGGCGGUCGGUAAACAGGACUUAAUUCUGUUCCUCAUCCACCCAGAACCCUCCCUGAGGGCCUCCCCUGCACUUUGGAAACAGCCCAAGCUUUGAAAUCAGGAAGUUUGAAGACUGGUUCUGCUACUUCCAGGCUGUGUGGCCUUGGCGAAGAUGUUUUUGCUGUGUUGCCUGGGCUGGUCUCAAACUCUUGGCCUCAAGUCAUCCUCCCACCUCAGCCUCCUGAGUACGAGGGAUUACAAGCAUGAGCCACCACACCCAGCUUCUUUAAAAAGAAAAAAAAAUUUUUUAUUGACAUAUAAGCAUUGUAUAUAUUUAAGGUCUACAACUUGACACUUGAGGGAUUAAAGAGAGGAUUAUAAAAGAUGUUACCAGCCAAAUACCCUUGAAGCUUGAAAUCAACCCACAAUGUCCAAAGGAGGAGUUCAGUGAGGAGCUAAAGAAGAGGAAUUAGCGCUUCUUUAACCUGUCUUUUGCAUUUAUAUUGUCCUUGUGAUAUUUUUUGGUGUAUAGAUGAUUUUCUUUCUUAUGGAGUUAAAUCUUCUUUUGUUUGUUUGAGAUGGAGUCUUACUCUGUUGCCCAGGCUGGAGUGCAGUGGUGCAAUCUCAGCUCACUGCAACCUCCAAACUCUCGGGUUCAAGCGAUUCUCCUGCCUCAGCUCCUGAGUAGCUGGGACUACAGGUGCACACCACCAUGCCCGGCAAAUUUUUGUAGUUGUAGUAGAGAUGAGGUUUCACCAUGUUGGCCAGGCUGGUCUCGAACUCCUGACCUCAGGCUAUCCACCAGCCUCGGCCUCCCAAAGUGCUGGGAUUACAGGCAUGAGCCACUGCGCCUGGUCACUUAUGGAAUUAAAUCUUUUUGGAUGGUGUGGUAUAUUGUAUUUUCCAAGGGUGGCUGCACGAAUAUAUAUUCCACUCUAGAUUCUUUUCUUAGAAUGUGACCUUAGCAGGCCUCAUUAAGAGGUAGAGUUUGUGUUCCCUCCCCUUGAACUUGGGUGGAACUUUGUAACUGCCUCAACCAAUAGAAUGUGGCAGAAGUGACAUCCGAGGCUCAGUCCUAGAAAGCAACGUGGUUCUGGGGGACUCUCUUGCUUUCUCUUGGGAUGCUUCUUCUCUGAACCCAGCCACCAUAUUGUGAGGAAGUCCAGGCCACACGGAGAAGCUAGAUGUGGAUGUUCUGACCAAGAGCCCCAGCUAGAUUCCCAGACAAUCACCAGACAGGUAAGCAAGGAGGGCUUGGGGCUUGUGAUGUAACUGACAUCUUGAAACGAUCAUUGUGGCUUCUGGAGACUUGAUUGUGGGGAAGGGAACUGCAGACCAGGAGUGGAAGCAGGGAGACCAGAGAGGACUCUGUAGAGUGUCCAGGAGAGAGAUGAUGUGGUUUGGAUUAAGGUUAAACCCGUGGCAUAGGUGAAAAGUGCUCCUAUAUGGGAAAUGUUUUGAAGAUGGAGGGCACAGGACUUGCUGAUGGACUGAAUGGAGGGUGAGGGAAAGAGAGAACUUACUGACAAUGUCUAGAUUUCUGGCCUGGGCAAUUGGGUAUCAGAUAAGUGAUGAAAUCACUUACUGAGAUGAGGAUGCCUGAGAGAUGAGCAGCUUAAGAUCAGCUUCACCUGAGCAAGUUCUGUGAGAAGCUUCUUAAAUCUCCGUCUCUACUAAAAAUACAAAACUUGGGCCGGGCACGGUGGCUUACGCCUAUAAUCCCAGCACUUUGGGAGGCCAAGGCGGGUGGAUCACGAGGUCAGGAGAUCGAGACCAUCCUAGCUAACACGGUGAAACCCUGUCUCUACUGAAAGUACAGAAAAUUAGCCGGGCGCGGUCAUGGGCACCUGUAGUCCCAGCUACUCGGGAGGCUGAGGCAGGAGAAUGGUGUGAACCCAAGAGGCGGAGCUUGCAGUGAGCCAAGAUCGUGCCACUGCACUCCAGCCUGGGUGACAGAGCGAGACUCUGUCUCAAAAAAAAAAAAAAAUACAAAACUUAGCUGGACAUGGUGGCGCAUGCCUGUAGUCCCAGCCAGUUGGGAGGGUAAGGCAGGAGAAUUGCUUGAACUGGGGAGGCAGUGGUUGCAGUGAGCCGAGAUCGCGCCACUGCACUCCAGCUUGGUGACAGAGUGAGACUCCGUCUCAAAAAAAAAAAAAAAACAACCCCAAACUUAGCUUAAACCAGCUAUUUCAUUUGCCCACCAGUUUGGUGGGCUGGGAAUCCAGGGCAGGGCACAGAAGAAAUGGUUAGUCUCUACUCCACAGUUUCUGGGACUUUAGCUUGGAAGACUCAAGGAUUGGAGGCAACAUGAGAGCUGGGACUGGAAUCAUCUGGAAGCAUCUUUACCCACAGAUAUGGCUGGUUAUUCACUGGAACCUCAGCACAGGCUGUCAACUGGGAUACUUACAGUGCCCUCCCCAUGAGGGUUGGGCUUCCUUCCAGUAUGGCAGCCUUUGGGAGUUGGACGACUUACAUGGCAGCUUUCCUAACCUAGCCUUGGAAGUCACAUAGCAUCAUCUCUACCCCCUUCUGUUGGUGACAAGAGAGUCACAAGUCUGCCUAGAUUGAAGACCCCUUCUCUCUGUGGAAGGAGUGUGGAGGUCAUAUUGGAGAAGAGCUUAUAGAAUGGGAGAUACUGUUGGGACCAACUCUGGAAGACAGAAUCUGUCACAGCUCAUAGAGCCUUGUCAUUGGAUGAGAUACUUAGGAAGCGAGUGUAGACAGGAGAAGUCCUGGACUGGCCUGGGGACACUCAACAUUUGGAGACUGAGAGGAGGAGGGUCAGUGGGCAGAGGGAAACCUGGAGCAAAAGACACUUCUUGCAGUGACUGCUACUUCCUGCUGAAGUUCCUUAGGGAAUGGGGUCAGGAUAGGUUCCUCUCUCCUUUCCCCAUUGUGUGUAUAUGUGUCUGUGUGGUAAAAUAUACAUAGCAUGACAUUUACCAUCUUAGCAAUUUUUUAUUUUAUUUUGUGAGACAGAGUCUCACUCUGUCGCCCAGGCUGGAGUGCAGUGGUGCAAUCUCAGCUCACUGCAACCUCCGCCUCCUGGGUUCAAACGAUUCUCCUGCCUCAGCCUCCUGAGUAGCUGGGACUAGCUAAUUAGCCACCACACCUAGCUAAUUUUUAUAUUUUUAGUAGAGACAGGGUUUCACCAUGUUCGCCAGGCUGGUCUCAAAUUCCUGACCUCAGGUGAUCUGCACACCUCAGCCUCCCAAAGUGCUGGGAUUAUAGGAGUGAGUCCCUGAGCCCGCCACCAUCUUAGCAAUUUUUAAGGUACAGUUAGUUGAGUGGCAUUAAGUACAUUCACAUUGUUGUGCAACCAUCACUACCACCCAUCUCCAUAGCUCUUUUCAUCUUGUAAAACUGAAAUUGUACGUUAAACACUAACUCCCCUUCCCUCCUCCCCCCAGCCCCUGGCUACCACCACUCUGUCUCUAUGAUUCUGAUGACUCUAAGUACCUCAUACAAGUGGAAUCACAGUGUAUUUGUCUUUCCAUGACUGGCUUACUUCACUUAGCAUAAUGUCCUCAAGACAGGACAGGUCUUGCCUCAGCUGCAAGCUGGUGCCAGAACCAGCCAUCCCUGGUUCUGGGACGUCCAUGGGCAUGGCCUGGGGGCUCACUUGAGCAAAAUUCCAUGGCCCCACGAAGACAACCAGAGUCCCCCGUACCUCUCCAUCCCGCACAGGCUCAGUCUUCCAAAACACUGCGGUGUGGGAGGGGGUUGCCUCAGUCCAGUCAAAACCCAUUUUUUUAGAAAACCAUUUAUGCCGCUUCUUUAAGAGCUAAAGAAUCCUCCAAUUUACUCAACUCUAAAAAAAACCUUAACACCCAAACAGUAGCAUCUGGACAUAAAUUUAACUAGAUUUCAGAGUUUUCUCUAAGAAUAGUUGGUGAAUGUUGCUUUACGUCUUGGAGAAUUUCCUAAACUAAGAGAGUCCAAAGAUAAGGAUUAUUUCACUUCCAGGAAACAAAACUGCCAUUUAGGUCCCUAAAUGGCAGAUCCCAGGUAACAGUACAAAACAAGUCUCUCUUUACAAAGCCCCUGCUAUUGUAGUUAAAAUAAACAGUCCAUGUGUUAGAGUUGGAAAUUCUAUUGUUAUAUAGAUAUCUUGCUGAAAUGGGUUCUGACCCCUACAAAGAGUUCUCAAGAAUGAAACACGUGAUGUUCCUUUAAUGUUGUUUUUGCUCAUGCAAAUGACAUCCUAUUACACCCACGGAUGCUUAACUACUAAGUUAAAACAACUACAUGGCAAUUUUGAUCACUCCAGAGUCCCCUCACUGUUUUGUGGUUUUAUGUAAUUCGCAUAUUGUGUACAAAAAGACUUGACCUGGAGCCGGCAGCAAGAAAUGUGUAAUUAGAAACACUUCCCGAGGAAAUUAGGUGACAAGUGAAGGCUUGAGGAUUUCCGAGGGAGCCUGGAGCUGCAGAUAUUCAUUAUGGGUACUUAAGAGGCACAGCUGCCUCUGCUGAAAACCAUGUCAAAUGCCGUCCGCUGGAUGCCAGCGUGGAGGCCAGCCCAGAGCCAGAGAUGGUGGCUAUGGCAACACGCUACUCCAUUUUUAAACUUUUCAUUACCUAAAAGGAAAUUGCUUAGGCUGUUUUUCUUUUUUUCCUUUUUCUCCCUACCAAUUUCAGAGUUUGUACCAGCAGUGAAUAGCCUCCAGGUCUAACAUUUCCUGGGUAAUGAGUGACUAGCUGGGUGAAGUGCUUUUGGCCUUACCUCCAGCCUUGGCAACUCCAGCCAGUUAUUAAUUGCUGCACCGGGAAACACUUUCCAAUCAAGCUAUUAUUUAAUCAAAAUAAAAGAAAACGAACUAUUAUUGCUGUCAACAGCAAUGAGCAACUCUCCGCAGGAGUCUAAAUGGGAACUGUGGAGGUUUUCACUGGAAGAAGUGUUCCUCUGGGGGUCAGAUAAGCAGGGCAACGUGAAGUUGCGUGGAGUACCCUUGGGAACUGGUUCUUGUGGGAGGAGAGAAUGUUGAACCAGCAGGAAGACGCAGAGAGAUUACACACACCCUGUCCUAGAUCUCAGUCAUUCAUGGUCAGUUAACCUGUAACCUUGCUGUUAAGCCAGUGCCCCAAAUGCUUCUGUGGGAGUGUCUGCAGGGGAAAAGACAGUCCAUAGAAGCAUUUGGGCUGCUUCUAUAAGCAAUAAAUAGUAAAACCUGUAACCACCAUAAUAACCACACUUCCUGAGUACCCCCAAUGUGCCAGGCAGGCACUGUGCCCCCAGGUUUAUACUCAGAUCUCAAGAGUUCCCCACAUUGCCACUGUGGGGAGAGUAUAGUCACGAUCCCUCUUUCACAGGGACACUGAGUCCGAGAGAGAUGAACUUGGCCAAGACCCACCACACCCUGGUGUGAAUAGCAGAGCCGGGGCUUGACUUCUAGUCUCUGCAUCGAGCAGUUGCUUUUUUUUUUUCUUUAAGUGACAAUAUAAACAUAACAUAAAAGUGACCAUCUUAACCAUUUUUAAGUGGAUAGUUCUGUGGCAGUAAGUACAUUGACAUUGUAUGCAACUAUCACCACCAACCAUCUCUAGAACUUUUUCAUAUCCCCAGCUGAAACUCUGUACCCAUUAAACACUAACUCCUCAUUCCCUCCUUCCCCAAGCCCCUGGCAACCACUAUUCUGUCUCUAACAGCGUGAUGAUUCCAUGGACCUCACAUGAGUGAAUCAUACACUAUUUGUCCUUUGGUGACUGGCUUGUUUCACUGAGCGUAACGUCCUCAGGGUUCAUCCACGUUGUAGUAUGAGUCAGAAUUGCCUUCCUACUUAAGGCUGAAUUACAUUCCAUCGUUUGUAUACACCACAUUUUGUUUAUCCAUUCAUCUAUGGAUGGACAUUUGGGUUGUGCCCAUGUUUUGGCUGUUGUGAAUCAUGCUGCUAUGUUUACUUCUUCUUUUUUUUUUUUUUUUUUGAGAUGGAGUUUUGCCCUUGUUAUCCAGGCUGGAGUGCAGUGGCAUGAUCUUGGCUCAUUGCAAGCUCUGCCUUCUGGGCUCCAGCGAUUCUCCUGACUCAGCCUCCCGAGUAGCUGGGAUUACAGAUGCCCACCAUCACACCCAGCUAAUUGUUUGUAUUUUUAGUAAAGGCGGGAUUUCAUCAUGUUGGCCAGGCUGAUCUUGAACUCCUGACUUCAGGUAAUCCACCUGCCUCGGCCUCCCAAAGUGCUGGGAUUACGGGUGUGAGCCACCGUGCCCGGCCGCUACGUUUAACUCUUAACCUCUAAGAUUCAUUGCCCCUGGGAGUAGUUGCUCUUCAAGGAUAACACAUGGCUCAGGGACUGCCUGUCACACCCCAACCUGAGAAUCAGCAGAGACUACCACGGGGCCCAUCAGGCCACUAGGCAGGUGCCACUCCCCUGGCAGGGAGAGAGGUGCCGGUGGCCACCGACCUCAUAGGGUUCCACAGCUCCACACUGGCAUGUUGCGGGAGGAAUUUCAGUGUUCAAUCCCAGGCUGUUUCUCUGAGUCUUAGGUUCUGGGAUAAACAAGCUCCUUCAAGUCCAAACUGCUCAGAUUAGACUUUACUGAUAGAUUCCACACCUGGAAUCCUGCUCCGGGACUGCAGUCUCAUCCUCCAGCUCCUGCAGGCUUCUUCUAAGCUGGUGGGUCUCAGCAGGGAUGGGGGUGAGUGGUACUCCACACCCAGGGGACACCACCCACAGGAAGCUUUGUGGACAUGUGAAGGGCAUAUGUGGUUGUCAUAAUGGUUGGGGGACACUGUUAAUAUUUAUGUGAGGCCAGGGACUCAGGUGACCUGCAGUGUGUGAGGCAGUCACCCACAACAAAGAAUUGUCCUGCAUCCUGAACCAAUUUCAAACAACCCAUUAACAUUUGUCUCCUAAGCUGUGUGACCUAAGUGCCACCUGCCUCCCCGGUUCCUCUCCCUCCCCUCUCAUGCUUAAAGAUAAGCCAUUUUUGGGCCGGGCACUAGGGUAGGCUAAGAAUUUAAAGAUGAAUAAGACAGAGUCCUUGUCCUCAAGGAAUUCCCAGGAAAGUCAGAGACAGACAGCGAUCACCAUGCAAGGCAACAAAUGCCAAAGAGAGGAGGACUGCAGUGUGGGAGCCGUGGAGCCACGAAGAAGCCCUGGGACUCUUGGAAGACUCCACUGGGAAGAGGUGGUUUAAACUGGGUUUUGAAGAAUCGAGAAGGAGAAUCAGCCAAAGAAAUGUGCCAAGAUGCCAAGCUGAGAUAAUUCCAUAGGGCUACAGUGUAAGAGACAGAUCCAGGAAGGUGGGUCCAGGAAGGUGGCAGGGCCACAUCCUGACAAGCCACUGCUGUUAAUGAUGAAGAGCAGGGAGCCUGUGCAGCCUUGGAUUUCAUGGGAUAAUGCCUCCUAAGGCCCUGCUUGGGACAUUAGGCACUCACCCAGCCUCCUGCCCAUGCCAAUGGAGCAGGGGUUCCCUCCAAGUCCUGUCCCGGAAUGGUUCUGUUCCCAGGGAGGAUAGGAACUCGAAUUUGUGGAGCAGCUACUUGAUGUGCCAAACAUUUGUGUUCUCUUCAGCAAGAGGAUACUUGCUGGUGUGCCUGGGAGACUGUCCCAGGAUAAAUGGGGAGUGUCUUUCUAGAAUGUUAAUUGCACUCAAAGAUUGGGGAGGGAAAAUCAAUUAGUGUAAAUGGUAAAUAACUUAAAACAUUAUUUUUACAUCACAUCAAUAGUGGAUAUAUUAUGGAGCAGAAUGCUAAAGUAACACACAUUUUUCUUAAUUUCAUUUAUCAUUUGGAAAGGUAACACGAGCUCAUGAUACAAAAUUCAAAACAUGUAAGAGUUUAGAAUAGGCCGGGUGUGGUGGCUCAUGCCUGUAAUCCCAGCACUUUGGGAGGCCGAGGCGGGCGGAUCAUGAGGUCAGGAGUUCAAGACCAGCCUGGGCAACAUAGUGAAAUCCCAUCUCUACUAAAAAUACAAAAAUUAGCUGGGCGUGGUGGCACGUGCCUGUAGUCCCAGCUACUUGGGAGGCUGAAGCAGGAGAAUUGCUUGAACCCGGGAGGCGGAGGUUGCAGUGAGCCAAGACCGGGCCAUUGCGCUCCAGCCUGGGGACAGAGUGAGACUCCAC